rnacentral:rRNA from 1 species
AUUGAACGCUGGCGUUAGGCCUAACACAUGCAAGUCGAACGGUAACAGGAAGCAGCUUGCUGCUUCGCUGACGAGUGACGGACGGGUGAGUAAUGUCUGGGAAGCUGCCUGAUGGAGGGGGAUAACUACUGGAAACGGUAGCUAAUACCGCAUAAUGUCGCAAGACCAAAGAGGGGGACCUUCGGGCCUCUUGCCAUCGGAUGUGCCCAGAUGGGAUUAGCUUGUUGGUGGGGUAACGGCUCACCAAGGCGACGAUCCCUAGCUGGUCUGAGAGGAUGACCAGCCACACUGGAACUGAGACACGGUCCAGACUCCUACGGGAGGCAGCAGUGGGGAAUAUUGCACAAUGGGCGCAAGCCUGAUGCAGCCAUGCCGCGUGUAUGAAGAAGGCCUUCGGGUUGUAAAGUACUUUCAGCGGGGAGGAAGGGAGUAAAGUUAAUACCUUUGCUCAUUGACGUUACCCGCAGAAGAAGCACCGGCUAACUCCGUGCCAGCAGCCGCGGUAAUACGGAGGGUGCAAGCGUUAAUCGGAAUUACUGGGCGUAAAGCGCACGCAGGCGGUUUGUUAAGUCAGAUGUGAAAUCCCCGGGCUCAACCUGGGAACUGCAUCUGAUACUGGCAAGCUUGAGUCUCGUAGAGGGGGGUAGAAUUCCAGGUGUAGCGGUGAAAUGCGUAGAGAUCUGGAGGAAUACCGGUGGCGAAGGCGGCCCCCUGGACGAAGACUGACGCUCAGGUGCGAAAGCGUGGGGAGCAAACAGGAUUAGAUACCCUGGUAGUCCACGCCGUAAACGAUGUCGACUUGGAGGUUGUGCCCUUGAGGCGUGGCUUCCGGAGCUAACGCGUUAAGUCGACCGCCUGGGGAGUACGGCCGCAAGGUUAAAACUCAAAUGAAUUGACGGGGGCCCGCACAAGCGGUGGAGCAUGUGGUUUAAUUCGAUGCAACGCGAAGAACCUUACCUGGUCUUGACAUCCACGGAAGUUUUCAGAGAUGAGAAUGUGCCUUCGGGAACCGUGAGACAGGUGCUGCAUGGCUGUCGUCAGCUCGUGUUGUGAAAUGUUGGGUUAAGUCCCGCAACGAGCGCAACCCUUAUCCUUUGUUGCCAGCGGUCCGGCCGGGAACUCAAAGGAGACUGCCAGUGAUAAACUGGAGGAAGGUGGGGAUGACGUCAAGUCAUCAUGGCCCUUACGACCAGGGCUACACACGUGCUACAAUGGCGCAUACAAAGAGAAGCGACCUCGCGAGAGCAAGCGGACCUCAUAAAGUGCGUCGUAGUCCGGAUUGGAGUCUGCAACUCGACUCCAUGAAGUCGGAAUCGCUAGUAAUCGUGGAUCAGAAUGCCACGGUGAAUACGUUCCCGGGCCU